rnacentral:tRNA from 1 species
AUCUCAAUAGUUUAAUAAAAACUUAACUUUGAAAAAGUUACAAUAGAUUAAAUUAUAUCUUUUAGAUA